rnacentral:lncRNA from 1 species
UUAGAAAAUUUCACAUCUAGAUUUACUACCAAAUUCCUGAAAUUACCCAAAAUAUCAAUCCUAUUUUAUUUUUCAAAAAUUAGAGUCACUAAAAACAACAUCGACUUUGAAAAGCUCUUACAAAGUCAUUGUCUAUCCAAAAUCCUUAAAAUCUAUAUCUAUAGAAAUCCUAUUAAGUCUACUGUCCAAUCCUACUCUCCAAUCAACCAAAGAACCCU